CCUACGGGCGGCAGCAGUGAGGAAUAUUGGUCAAUGGGCUUACGCCUGAACCAGCCAAGUCGCGUGAGGGAAGACUGCCCUAUGGGUGGUAAACUUCUUUUGUCAGGGCGCAACGCCGGCUACGUGUAGCCGGACUGAGAGUACCUGAAGAAAAAGCAUCGGCUAACUCCGUGCCAGCAGCCGCGGUAAUACGGGGGAUGCGAGCGUUAUCCGGAUUUGUUGGGUUUAAUGGGAGCGUAGGCGGAAUGCCAAGUCAGCGGUAAAAUCGCGGGGAUCAACCUCGCUCCGCAGUUGAAACUGGCGUUCUUGAGUGGGCGAGAGGUAUGCGGAAUGCGUGGUGUAGCGGUGAAAUGCAUAGAUAUCACGCAGAACCCCGAUUGCGAAGGCAGACUGCCAAGCCAUGACUGACGCUGAUGCACGAAAGCGUGGGGAUCAAACAGGAUUAGAUACCCCUGUAGUC
rnacentral:rRNA from 1 species